rnacentral:lncRNA from 1 species
UAGGAAGAAACAUUGUGCAUUGAACUUCAAAGCUGAGAUAUGAGACUCUAGCUUACUUCUAAGAAAUGCUUGAUUUCAUACAAAACAGUGGUUAUUUCUUUUCCUGGAAUCUUCGAGACUUUCUCCUCAUUCAGGCUUGUUUAUAACCAGAGGCAUCAUUUCUCUCUUGUUCAUUACUGCAAAGAACAAAACCCGCACAAAGAAGACUCUCAGGAAAUGUUGGCUGAAUGACAGAAUGAGCAUUGAUAAAUGAAGACUUCUUCAAAUAACUGAUGCUAGACAUCUCUAAAUCACAGUGGCUCACGACUGUAAUCUCAGCACUUUGGGAGGCCGAAGCAGGAGGAUCAUUUGAGGUCAGGAGUUCGAGACCAGCCUGGCCAACAUGGUGAAACCCCAUUUCUACUAAAAAUAC